rnacentral:tRNA from 1 species
GUGCCGGUGGUGUAAGGCGAACAUCGCUGCCCUGAAAGCAGAAGAUGCGGGUUCGAUCCCGCCUGGCGCA